CCUACGUGCGGCAGCCGUGAGGUAUAUUGGUCAAUGGUCGGAAGCCUGAACCAGCCAAGUCGCGUGAGGGAUUAAGGUCCUGCGGGUCGUAAACCUCUUUUGCCGGGGAGCCGUGGUCCGGACGCGUCCGGACCGGGAGUGUACCCGGAGAAAAAGCAUCGGCUAACUCCGUGCCAGCAGCCGCGGUAAUCCGGAGGAUGCGAGGGUUAUCCGGCUUUAUUGGGUUUAAAGGGUGCGUAGGCGGACUGUCAAGUCAGCGGUAAAAGCCCGGGGCUCAACCUCGGCGAGCCGUUGAAACUGGCUGUCUUGAGAUGUCGAGAGGUAUGCGGAAUGCGCAGUGUAGCGGUGAAAUGCUUAGAUAUUGCGCAGAACUCCGAUUGCGAAGGCAGCAUACCGGCGGCGAUCUGACGCUGAGGCACGAAAGCGUGGGUAUCGAACAGGAUUAGAUACCCGUGUAGUC
rnacentral:rRNA from 1 species